GCAGAGCAUCCUACGGGAGGCAGCAGUGGGGAAUAUUGCACAAUGGGCGCAAGCCUGAUGCAGCCAUGCCGCGUGUAUGAAGAAGGCCUUCGGGUUGUAAAGUACUUUCAGCAGUGAGGAAGGUGGAUAUGUUAAUAGCAUAUUCAUUUGACGUUAGCUGCAGAAGAAGCACCGGCUAACUCCGUGCCAGCAGCCGCGGUAAUACGGAGGGUGCGAGCGUUAAUCGGAAUUACUGGGCGUAAAGCGCAUGCAGGUGGUUUGUUAAGUCAGAUGUGAAAGCCCGGGGCUCAACCUCGGAAUUGCAUUUGAAACUGGCAAACUAGAGUACUGUAGAGGGGGUAGAAUUUCAGGUGUAGCGGUGAAAUGCGUAGAGAUCUGAAGGAAUACCGGUGGCGAAGGCGGCCCCCUGGACAGAUACUGACACUCAGAUGCGAAAGCGUGGGGAGCAAACAGGAUUAUAUACCCUGGUAG
rnacentral:rRNA from 1 species